UACGUAGGGUGCGAGCGUUGUCCGGAAUUAUUGGGCGUAAAGAGCUCGUAGGCGGUGUGUCACGUCGGCCGUGAAAACCUGCAGCUUAACUGUGGGCGUGCGGUCGAUACGGGCAUCACUGGAGUUCGGCAGGGGAGACUGGAAUUCCUGGUGUAGCGGUGAAAUGCGCAGAUAUCAGGAGGAACACCGGUGGCGAAGGCGGGUCUCUGGCUCGGUACUGACGCUGAGGUGCGAAAGCGUGGGGAGCAAACAGG
rnacentral:rRNA from 1 species